CCUGCGUGAGGGCGCCGCUCUUUGUCCGCAGCUUAGUGAUCUGGUUCACGCGGCGUUGUUGUCUCAGCAUUCUGGCUAGCAUACGACCGCAUUUGUUGGAGUGUUCAUAGUAAUAGCGAUGGGCUUUUUUCAUCGUAUAGGCGAGGUUUUUCGUGAGCAGAUGUUGUAGGUCUCGGCGGGCCUCUCGGAGCGCAUGGUACGCCUCUUCUGUCGGUGCGGCUUUGUGGUCUUGUUCUAAGCUGGCGACUUUCGUAUAUAGCUCUUGUAGCUGCCUACUGUGUUCUUUCUUCCGCGUUGUACAUACCUUGAUGAAAUGUCCCCGAAUGACGCACUUAUGGGCCUCCCACCGAAUCAUUGGGGAGGUGUCAGACGGAUCAUUCUCAUUGAAGUAAUGACGGAGCGCUGUCGUAGCGUCCGCUAUGGUGACCGGGUCGCUAAGUAGUUGUUCAUUCAGUUUCCAUUGGCGUCUUGUGGGUUUAUGCAGAGGCGAGGUCAGCUGGGCCAGUACCGGUGAGUGGUCCGACCAAGCGUCCAGUAGGAUUUCACAUUUUUGUAAUAGAUUCAGGUAUUCUUGUGCAAUAAAGACAUAGUCUAAGCGGCUGUAGCCGCGGUGCACCGGGGAGAAGUAUGUGAAAUCCUUGGCCUCUGGGUGCAUGACUCUCCAGCAAUCCGCAAGGCCCGCCGUUCUGAGUGCCAAUUGUGCCGCUUUGAUGCUUGCGUCCGGCAGCGAGCAGCGUCCCCGGGAGGUGUCCGUCCGCGGAUCCAAUGGUAUGUUGAGGUCCCCGGUUAGAAUUAGGAGCCCCUCCCUGAAGUGUUCCAGCGAUUUUAGGGUUCUGGUGAGAAAACUGUGUUGUCGGGUGUUGGGCGCAUAUAUGGAGGCAAAGGUGUAGCGCCUGUCUGCAAUGGAGCCCUUGAGGAAGAUGUAGCGUCCCAGUGGGUCGGCCUUGACCUCCGCACACACGAAGGGGACAUGCGCGGCGAAGAGAAUGGCCACUCCUGCCUUCUUGGCUUCCCUAUGGUUAGCAAAAUAUCCAGUGGGGAACCGUCGGUCUCGGAGGGCCGGUCCCGUCUGUCCGCGGAAGUGUGUCUCCUGGAUGAAGGCCACAGAGAUUCUAUUGGACCAAAGUGCCCGUAGUAAAUGUGAUCUCCGUUCUGGCAGGUUCAGGCCCCGGACGUUGUUGGACCAGAUGCGCAGAGGCGCCGGGGCGAACCCCUCUCGGCCCCGGGAGGUCAUGAGAGCUGGUGCCGCCGCGCAGGGGCGGGCGGCGAGGUGUCAGGGGCGGGAGAAAAGAGAAGAAGAAGGAGGGAGAGAGAGAGA